rnacentral:misc_RNA from 1 species
GAUGAAGAACGUAGCGAAAUGCGAUAAGUAGUGUGAAUUGCAGAAUUCAGUGAAUCAUCGAAUCUUUGAACGCACAUUGCGCCCCUUGGUAUUCCAUGGGGCAUGCCUGUUCGAGCGUCAUUUGUACCUUCAAGCUUUGCUUGGUGUUGGGUGUUUGUCUCGCCUCCGCGUGUAGACUCGCCUCAAAACAAUUGGCAGCCGGCGUAUUGAUUUCGGAGCGCAGUACAUCUCGCGCUUUGCACUCACAACGACGACGUCCAAAAGUACAUUUUUACACUCUUGACCUCGGAUCAGGUAGGGAUACCCGCUGAACUUAAGCAUAUCAAAAGCGGAGGA